GCGGUUCUCCGCGGCAAUCACCAGUGGCCUCCGAAGCCAAGGGUCGCUGGUUCGAUCCCAGCCAGCCGCGCCA
rnacentral:tRNA from 1 species